rnacentral:miRNA from 2 species
UUCCUUCUGGUUGAUGAGGUAUAACAUCCUCAUCUGCAGAAGGGAUCCCUUCUGAUUGAUGAGAUGUAACUACCGUCAAUGAGGAUGUCAUACCUCAUUGACCGGAAGGAAUCCCUUCUGGUUGAUGAGGUUGUUAUACCUCAUCAACCGGAAGGAA